CCUACGGGAGGCAGCAGUGAGGAAUAUUGGACAAUGGGCGCAAGCCUGAUCCAGCCAUGCCGCGUGCAGGAAGAAGCAUCUAUGGUGUGUAAACUGCUUUUAUACAGGAAGAAACACUCCCUCGUGAGGGAGCUUGACGGUACUGUAAGAAUAAGGACCGGCUAACUCCGUGCCAGCAGCCGCGGUAAUACGGAGGGUCCAAGCGUUAUCCGGAAUCAUUGGGUUUAAAGGGUCCGUAGGCGGUUUAAUAAGUCAGUGGUGAAAUCUGGUCGCUCAACGAUCAAACGGCCAUUGAUACUGUUAGACUUGAAUUAUUGUGAAGUAACUAGAAUAUGUAGUGUAGCGGUGAAAUGCUUAGAUAUUACAUGGAAUACCAAUUGCGAAGGCAGGUUACUAACAAUAUAUUGACGCUGAUGGACGAAAGCGUGGGGAGCGAACAGGAUUAGAUACCCUGGUAGUCCACGCCGUAAACGAUGGAUACUAGCUGUUCGGAGCAAUCUGAGUGGCUAAGCGAAAGUGAUAAGUAUCCCACCUGGGGAGUACGUUCGCAAGAAUGAAACUCAAAAUGAGUAGAGACGUGAGAGUAGCGACGGACGACGACGAGGGGAGGAGG
rnacentral:rRNA from 1 species